UACAGAGGGUGCAAGCGUUGUUCGGAAUUAUUGGGCGUAAAGGGCGCGUAGGCGGUGCGGUAAGUCUGCAGUGAAAUCUCUGGGCUCAACUCAGAGUCUGCUGUAGAAACUGCCGUGCUUGAGUGUGGGAGAGGUGAGUGGAAUUCCCGGUGUAGCGGUGAAAAUGCGUAGAUAUCGGGAGGAACACCUGUGGCGAAAGCGGCUCACUGGACCACAACUGACGCUGAGGCGCGAAAGCUAGGGGAGCAAACAGGG
rnacentral:rRNA from 1 species